rnacentral:lncRNA from 1 species
GUGAUUUUAGUUUAGGGGAACAGGUUUGGGGUUUAUUUUUUUUCUUCUAACUCUUUAUCAAUAGGACAUUCACCUUACCCUUAUCAAAUCCAUUUUUCAAGUUUCUUUCCUUAAAAUUAGUCCAACUUGAGACAAGGUCAGAACCUGCAGCUGUUUUGGCCGGUUAUUCACUUGCGGUUCAAUAUCCUUAUCUUUUCAUUUUAUUUGAUAAUGUAAAAGCGUC